CCAUGGGCAGGUUGAAGGUUGGGUAACACUAACUGGAGGACCGAACCGACUAAUGUUGAAAAAUUAGCGGAUGACUUGUGGCUGGGGGUGAAAGGCCAAUCAAACCGGGAGAUAGCUGGUUCUCCCCGAAAGCUAUUUAGGUAGCGCCUCGUGAAUUCAUCUCCGGGGGUAGAGCACUGUUUCGGCAAGGGGGUCAUCCCGACUUACCAACCCGAUGCAAACUGCGAAUACCGGAGAAUGUUAUCACGGGAGACACACGGCGGGUGCUAACGUCCGUCGUGAAGAGGGAAACAACCCAGACCGCCAGCUAAGGUCCCAAAGUCAUGGUUAAGUGGGAAACGAUGUGGGAAGGCCCAGACAGCCAGGAUGUUGGCUUAGAAGCAGCCAUCAUUUAAAGAAAGCGUAAUAGCUCACUGGUCGAGUCGGCCUGCGCGGAAGAUGUAACGGGGCUAAACCAUG
rnacentral:rRNA from 1 species